CCACGAUCCUGGCGUUGACGGUGACCUUGGGCUCCAAGGUCAACUUCCUGCUGAUGAGGCUGAGAGCAAACGGAGCCUGAGAGCAUUGCAGAGAGGAGCCCGUCAGAUAUGUUUAGAACAUGCAGCUUCAGAAGGAAACUCAGGGAUGGAACUUGUGACCCGACGCUCCUCAAAAGACUCCCACAGGAUCCGGCUCCGCCUUCUAAUUGCUGCAUUCCUCCACCACUGAGUGGUCCUCACGCUAAUGGCUCCUUCAUCGUCUGUGAUUGGGCAGAUUGGCCCCACAAAGCACCUUGUUGGAUGAAAACAGCAUCGAGGAAAAGGGAGGGGGGGUGAAAUUAACCUUUGUGUCAUAUUCCAAUCAUUUAGACAUCUGUCGCACAGCGAGAUGUCGCCAAGUUUGAUUAGCAGGAGAAAAAAAGGGCCUGUAUUUAUUUUAAUUAACAAAUGUACAUGUGAACGGCUCAGAUUGAUGAGUAACAUUUUAAAUAGUUGAUAGUAGUAAAUAGUUAAAUAGUUCAAGUCAUGUGACGUCUGCUCACUAAACCUAAAUACUGCGGCUUCCUUUUGGCCAUUAGGGACCCUGAAGGCAACGCUGACGAGCUGUGAGAGAGCAACUAGUGGCUGAAGGACGACGUGGAAAUCUGCAUUUGUUUUUUCCAUGAUUUGGAAUUUGGUUCAACUGUCUUCCAGGUCUGUAGGAAACAUCCACUCACAGAACCUACUAAGCUGCUCUUCUUUUGACGAGAUGAAGGGACAAGGUAAACGUGCAGCAGCUCAGUUUAGGAGCAGCUGGACUGAAGAUAUGAUGAUAUGAUGAUCAUCAUCUGCUACCUACGUCCAUUGAAACAAAAUAACCCUCCUGCAGCCGUGGGUCAUGCACACGCUGCAUUUGGACAUUUAUUGAGAAUUCAUAUUCAUUUAUAUGUAAACAAAACUCUGUAUUUGCCAUUUGCCUACAUGCAUUCAUCUGAAUAGCGCAGGCGAUAACCAGAUGAACAGAUCUGCAUGUGGGGAGCAGGUGCAGCGCUGCGUAACGUGAUCCCGUGUGGACGGAGAGGGAACAGGUGCUUUAGAUCCCAUCAAUCGUCCCCGCGGCCCGGAGUCCUUAUCUGAACGGAGAUCAUGACAGCUGUGUUACCGCCUGGCCACACUGGCACCCUGCGGCCUCAGGCCCCUCCACGCUCCCUGCCCGGCGGCCCCCUGGGGCCCAGCUGCUGCCGUGCCCACCUGGUGCUCGGUGAUCCGCCUGGAGG